GCGGGAGUAGCUCAGCUGGUAGAGCGCAACCUUGCCAAGGUUGAGGUCGCGAGUUCGAACCUCGUCUCCCGCUCCA
rnacentral:tRNA from 1 species